rnacentral:sRNA from 1 species
UCGCCUCAUGGGCGAGGGGCGGCCUCGUA